rnacentral:rRNA from 1 species
CCUANGGGUGGCUGCAGUGAGGAAUAUUGCGCAAUGGGCGAAAGCCUGACGCAGCGACGCCGCGUGGGGGAUGAAGGUCUUCGGAUUGUAAACCCCUUUCGGGAGGGAAGAUGGGACGGGCAACCGUUCGGACGGUACCUCCAGAAGCAGCCACGGCUAACUUCGUGCCAGCAGCCGCGGUAAUACGAAGGUGGCAAGCGUUGUUCGGAUUUACUGGGCGUAAAGGGAGCGUAGGCGGUUUGGUAAGCCCUCCGGCAAAUCUCCCGGCCUAACCGGGAAAGGUCGGAGGGGACUGCUUGACUAGAGGGCGGGAGAGGAGCGCGGAAUUCCCGGUGUAGCGGUGAAAUGCGUAGAGAUCGGGAGGAAGGCCGGUGGCGAAGGCGGCGCUCUGGAACGAUCCUGACGCUGAGGCUCGAAAGCGUGGGGAGCAAACAGGAUUAGAUACCCCANUANUC